rnacentral:lncRNA from 1 species
AUAAACGUGUUGUUUGCUUUGGUUUGCGUGUCGAUAUGUUAGAAGCGGUUUAGGUCAUAGUUAUUUAACCGUAGCUCCGUUGGAGAUGUGCCAUAUAUGUAAAUGGGCCAGAACGACAAGUAGAAUCAUGUGAACCACUUUGUUUUGCCAUUUAACAAACACAAAAUGUGAUUAGGACAAAUUUGGACAGAAUUAGAAUUUAACAUGUGAGGUCGUUUCGGAGAUGCUAUAUGUCAUUUCCGAUCUCAUUUAAAAUGCCUAGAUAGGUAGUUUAAUUACGCUUCACCUCUUGCCAUGUUUAACAACAUUUAAUAUUGCCGUGUACCUAAUCGAGAUAGAACUAAAUAAUCCGUAUGUGGAGUUUCGUCAAUAUGCAAUUCGUUGCAUAUUGAACUUCACUUAAUGUGUAGUGUUUGAUUGUGUGAUUUGCCAUGCCGUGUCUUGCAUGUAUUCAGCUGCUCAUGCAUCAUAUGUGUUGUGCAUCGUCUGGUGAAUAUCGUGUGUUGAUUUGUGUUUCCGGUUUGCUUCGUCUCGAUAGAGUUCCGCAAGCGUGUCGGAUGUGAGGACCCGUUCGACUACGUCGGUUCGUCUGCUUCACGGAGGCAUUCUUCUUCCAAGCGGGAUCUCAGGCAAGAUGAUCAUUUCCCCAGAUACCAUUACUAUCAUUGUCAUGCUAGUUUUAUUGUUUCUGUCGUUAUGUCUCGUUGCCUACCACAUGUUAAAUUCAGCCUCUCAACAAUGCCAUGAUAACCUUCAACCUGUUCAACCUAGCAAACCACCGAUUGGCUAUGUUACCGCUUGCUUAACCCUGUGUUAGCGUUGCUAGUUGCAGGUGCAGAUGCUUCCAUGUGAAAACAUGGGUUCCUUGCUAUAUCACCAUAUUAAAUGCUAUUUAAUUUAAUGCACAUAUAUACUUGGUAAAAGGUGGAAGGCUCGGCCUUUCUAGCCUGGUGUUUUGUUCCACCUUUGCCCCCUUAAUUUCGGCUACCGGUGUUAUGUUCCAUAAUUGAGCGCUCCUAACACGAUUGGGGUUGUUAUGGGGACCCCCUUGAUAAUUCGUUUUAGAUUAAAGCUGGUCUGGCAAGGCCCAACUUUGGUACUACAUUUGCCUAAACACCUAAUAAAAUUGCAUAGGGACUUUCCGGACCCCGAGGAUAAUUUAAUCAACCCCCGGGCCAGUGCUCCUCAUGAGUGUUGGCCCCACCUGAGCGAUCUCCGGCGCCCCUCUGGUCACCCGGAGGUUUAGCGAUCCCGACGUCUAGCUCAUCCGUCGUGUCCUAAGAACGAGGUACGCGACUCCUAUCGGGAUCGUCGACACGUCGGGCAGCCUUGUUGGAUUAGUUUUACCUUUGACGAGAUAUCUUGUGCAUCGGGAUUCCGGUGAUGCUUUGGUAAUCUCAGAGUUGAGGUUUUCCACUAGGGAAUCCGACGAGAUCGCGAGCUUCGUGAUUGAGGAUUUCUAUGCGGCUUGUGGUAAUUUGUGAUGGACUAGUUGGAGCACCCCUGCAGGGUUAAAUCUUUCGGAAAGCCGUGCCCGCGGUUAUGUGGCAACGUGGAAACUUUGUUCAACACUGGUUCUAGAUAACUUGAAGUUAACUUAAUUAAAAUAUGCCAACUGUGUGCGUAACCGUGACUGUCUCUUUCGUGAGUUCUUUCUUCGAUCGAGGACAUGGUGGGGUUAUGUAUGACGUAGGUAGGUGUUCAGGAUCAUUCAUUUGAUCAUGAGUAGUUUACGUCCGUUAUGCGUAGAUCUUCUCCCUCUUAUUUCUUGUACUCGUAAGUUUAGCCACCAAAUAUAUGCUUAGCCGCUGCUGCAACCUCACCACUUAACCAUACCCCACCCAUUAAGCUUUGCUAGUCUUGAUACCUUUGGAAAUGAGAUUGCUGAGUCCCCUGUGGCUCACAGAUUACUACAACGCCAGUUGCAGGUACAGGUACAGGUUACUUGACGCGAGCGCGUUGAUUGAUCAUUUGGAGUUGCUUCUUCUUCUUCUUCAUCAUCGAUCUAGGAUGGGUUUCAGGCCGGUAGUCUGGGAUAGCAAGGAUGGACAUCGUUCUUCUUUUUCUCGUUUGUUUUCGUCCGUAGUCGGACCCUGCUCUUACUCUUGAUGAUUAUGUAAUGUACUGAUGUGACUCUGAUGUAGCUUGUGGCGAGUGUAAGCCAAUUCUAUAUAUAUAUAUAUAUAUAUAUAUCUUCUUUUCAGUACAUGUACUUGUAACGAUAUCCAUUCUUGCGACACGACGAG